GUGCUCACUUCACAGCACAUAUACUAAAAUCGGAACGAUAAAGAAAAGAUUAGCAUGGCCCCUGUGCAAGGAUGGCGUGCAAAUUCCUGAAAUGUGUUCCAUUUUU